rnacentral:rRNA from 1 species
UACGAAGGGUGCAAACGUUGCUCGGAAUUAUUGGGCGUAAAGCGCACGUAGGCGGCAUUGCAAGUCGGAUGUGAAAUCCCUCGGCUUAACCAAGGAAGUGCAUCCGAAACUGCAGUGCUUGAGUACUUAAGAGGAUCGCGGAAUUCCCGGUGUAGAGGUGAAAUUCGUAGAUAUGGGGAGGAACACCGGUGGCGAAGGCGGCCAUCUGGACGGAUACUGACGCUGAGACGCGAAAGCGUGGGUAGCAAACAGG